UAGGGAAUCUUCGGCAAUGGGGGGAACCCUGACCGAGCAACGCCGCGUGAGUGAAGAAGGUUUUCGGAUCGUAAAGCUCUGUUGUUAAGGAAGAACGAGUGUGAGAAUGGAAAGUUCAUACUGUGACGGUACUUAACCAGAAAGGGACGGCUAACUACGUGCCAGCAGCCGCGGUAAUACGUAGGUCCCGAGCGUUGUCCGGAUUUAUUGGGCGUAAAGCGAGCGCAGGCGGUUAGAUAAGUCUGAAGUUAAAGGCAGUGGCUCAACCAUUGUAGGCUUUGGAAACUGUUUAACUUGAGUGCAGAAGGGGAGAGUGGAAUUCCAUGUGUAGCGGUGAAAUGCGUAGAUAUAUGGAGGAACACCGGUCGCGAAAGCGGCUCUCUGGUCUGUAACUGACGCUGAGGCUCGAGAGCGUGGGGAGCGAACAGG
rnacentral:rRNA from 1 species